AGUGAACGCUGGCGGUAGGCCUAACACAUGCAAGUCGAACGGCAGCACAGUAAGAGCUUGCUCUUACGGGUGGCGAGUGGCGGACGGGUGAGGAAUACAUCGGAAUCUACUUUUUCGUGGGGGAUAACGUAGGGAAACUUACGCUAAUAUCGCAUACGACCUACGGGUGAAAGCAUGGGAUCUUCGGACCUUGCGCGAUUGAAUGAGCCGAUGUCGGAUUAGCUAGUUGGCGGGGUAAAGGCCCACCAAGGCGACGAUCCGUAGCUGGUCUGAGAGGAUGAUCAGCCACACUGGAACUGAGACACGGUCCAGACUCCUACGGGAGGCAGCAGUGGGGAAUAUUGGACAAUGGGCGCAAGCCUGAUCCAGCCAUACCGCGUGGGUGAAGAAGGCCUUCGGGUUGUAAAGCCCUUUUGUUGGGAAAGAAAAGCAGCAGGUUAAUACCCCGCUGUUCUGACGGUACCCAAAGAAUAAGCACCGGCUAACUUCGUG
rnacentral:rRNA from 1 species